GACGAACGCUGGCGGCGUGCUUAACACAUGCAAGUCGAACGGAAAGGCCCUGCGUUUGUGGGGUGCUCGAGUGGCGAAGGGGUGAGUAACACGUGAGUAACCUGUCCUUGACUUUGGGAUAACUUCAGGGAACUGGGGCUAUUAUCGGAGAGGAGCUCUUGCUGCGUGGUGGGGGAUGGAAAGAUUAGGUGGUUGGGGAUGGACUCGCGGCUUAUCAGCUUGUUGGAGUGGUAGUGGAUUACCAAGGCUUUGACGGGUAGGCGGCCUGGGAGGGUGACGGGCCACAUUGGGACGGAGGUACGGCCCAGACUCCAACGGGACGCAGCAGUGGAGAAUAUUGCACAAUGGGCGGGAGCCUGAUGCAGCAACGCCGCGUGCGGUAUGACGUCCUUCGGGUUGUAAACCGAUUUCGCCUUUGCCGAAGCGUGAGUGACGGUACUGGGUAAAGAAGCACCGGCUAACUACGUG
rnacentral:rRNA from 1 species